rnacentral:rRNA from 1 species
AUUGAACGCUGGCGGCAGGCCUAACACAUGCAAGUCGAGCGAGCGGCGGAAGGGGGAGUAAUGUAUGGGGACUGCCCGAUAGAGGGGGAUAACUACUGGAAACGGUAGCUAAUACCGCAUACUAUCGGAUAACCCAUAUGGGAUUAGUUAGUAGGUGAGGUAAUGGCUCACCGAGGCGACGAUCCCUAGCUGGCCUUAGAGGAUGAUCAGCCACACUGGGACUGAGACACGGUCCAGACUCAUACGGAGGCAGCAGUGGGGAAUAUUGCACAAUGGGCGCAAGCCUGAUGCAGCCAUGCCGCGUGUAUGAAGAAGGCCUUAGGGUUGUAAAGUACUUUCAGUCGGGAGGCGUUACCCACAGAAGAAGCACCGGCUAACUCCGUGCCAGCAGCCGCGGUAAUUC